CCAGAAAGUGUACUGUGUCACUGUUUUCAAAUGAUUCAAAAGUAAAAUUUAUCUGUCUAUGAAAAGCAUUGAAGUAGCUUUGAAAGUUGAGCUUGUUUGAAAGUUGAGCUUGUUUGAAUUGUAAAAUGACAAUAGGGCUAUUGGGCUAUGCAUAGGCCUAUACAUUUUACAACAUACAAUUUUGUUUUCAUUUCAGAAAAGAAAUAAUAAUAAUAAUAGUAAUGAAUGCGAUUUUCAGACUAAAUUGUUCAACGCGUUUCUUUUGAUGUUGAAUAUCGAGGACAAUGAUAAUCAUAACGAAUAUGAUCUUAUAUUGAUGGCGAUAUAAUGAUCUUGGUGACGAUGAAAUACCAGAUUGCAAAGGUUUACGCAGUACAUAUUUGUAAACACAGUGCAACAGAAGAGGUUGAUAUGCAAGGCCUUCAGUUCUUGUGAACUGUCGCCGAUUUCAACAUACUGAAACUGUAUGCGAUCGACUUAAAAGGAAUCUACUGGUGGACAUUGGUGGGUUGAAUGUUGAUUCUACUAAGGGAAUUCGGAGCUGUGAUCAAGCUAAUACCAACACUGACCCAGGAAGCAAAUUUUGUCUGGUUUAUCAGCAGAAUAACAUCCGUUCAGAUGGAAUGAGCCAAUCUGGUCGAUUUAAUUUAGAGAUGCCGAGUGUUUUUGCAAAUGUUAAAGAACAAAUAACGUACAAUUAGAUAUUAUGGUUAAGACUAUUUGUCAUUGCAGUUGGUAAUAUUAAAUAUAUGCUAUAUAAUAAAAUUUAAUAAUAAUAAUAAUAUAAAAAUAACAAUAAUAUAAAAAAAUAAUAUAUAAAAAAUAAAAGCCUACAUUUUUAAAAUAAUAAUUACGAAUACAGUAUUCAUCAAUACAAUUACUUUGUUGUUGUUGUUUUGUAUAUUUGUCAUCCUACAUGUAGUUGAUGUUUGUUUAGUACAUUACGGUUUGAUAUCACUUUCAUCAUUUCAUUUCGCCCUAACCUAGUCCACCCUCUCUCAUAUCUAUCGUAAUUCAGACUAUAGAUAGUUGUAGUUAGUCAGGUUAGCUUGAUAGAUAGGUCGUAGUUUAAGGUGUAGAGUUAGUAUUAGCUUGGUUAAAAAAAGUAGAUUUCCCGCCUAAAUGAGAGAGGAAUGGGCAAUACAUAUAACCUCCUUCAUUAACAUCAAUUCAAUGUGUCCUAUCAUUUUAUUACUGUAUUGUGUUGUAAAAAUACUAUUGAUCAAUAAAAGUUACAACUUAUAAAAUAAAGACACAUAAUUAUAAAUUUAAAAGUAUAACAAUUGCAAUGACAAGUGCUGAAAUAAUUUCUUGUGAUAAAUUAACUGUUAUUUGCUAUAUAUUCAGUUAUGAUAAUAAUUGUGAUGUUGAUGCAAAUAAAAAUUAUUAGUAAGGCCGAUAUUAUGCUUAAUUGUAUAACGUAUAUUUUUUUUGGCACUAGCAAUAUGAGCAUAUAUUAAACGUUGGAUGUUAAACCUAUACCUAAAAUUUAAAAUCCUUGAAUGGCUUCUGACAUAAUAAAAUGUUUUUAAAACAUUUAUGUUUGAACAUCAAAAAUUAGCCAAGCGGCAUGGCCACUGGGAUCCUCAAGAAUGUGCUAUAAUAAUUAAUUUGCAUACUGUAAUAACAGAGGAACUGAUGCCUUUUGUAUUUCUAAAUAAUGUGUAUAAACAUCUGCAAAACCAAGAGCUUUUGUAAGGUCAGUUUUUAAAGAUUUUCAACACUAUUGUUCCAUACAUAUACUCGAAUUUUGUCAUGUAUUUAAUUUCUUGACCACAGUGAGUUAAAUGUAAUAAUAUAUUGUCAACAGUUAGUAGCUUAGUAUUGGUGUUCCGUAAGGAUGUGUUUUUUCUCCGUACCUGUUUCUUUUUAUAUUUUUUUAAGUAGUUUUAAGAUCUUGGAUCCUCACUGAAAAAUUGUAAAAUACGCAGAUAAUACUGCAAUUAGUGGAUUUAUUGAUAACGAUGAAACUCUAUUAUUUUGAUGAAGUUAAAAUAUUUCCUGAAUGGUGCCAGCUUAAUAAUCUUAUAUUGAACGCUAACAACUAAAGAAAUGAUCUCUGAUUUUUGCAAAGCAAACAGUGCUUAUGAUAUAUACCAGGCACUGUUGUUGAAACAACAGUGCCUGGUAAGGAAACUAAGCAAAGUUGUAUUUUCUAAGAAAACUUAAGAAGCAUACUGUAGACAAUACCAUUCUUAUCUUGUUUUAUAAAGCAAUAAAACAGUGUUUUAACUUACUGUCUGUACAUAUAAUUGCCUAACAAAACAUUGAAGAAAUCGGACUCGAUCCGAAAGACUGCAAAGAAAAUAUUAAUAAAGAUAUUGUACAUUUAGAUAAUAUAUAUGACAAAUACACAUUAGCUAAACUCCAGACUAUAAUGAAAGACACAAAUUUACAGUAUAUUUAACUCUAGGCUUCCGUUUAAUGUACCACUCACCAGACGUUGCCGUUCCCAACUCCAUCCACCUUCAUAAUGAUAAUGUUAAGAGAUAAUUCUGGUUUUAAGUGCAAUUUUGACCUCAUUUAAUUAAGUUUUGUGUAAUAUUGUUUAUCUUAUGAAUUAAAUUUCUUUAAUACUAAUAGUUUUA